CAAACUUGCGGCUCCCCCAACACUCUUGUUCUUCACGUGUCGUUGCAUACGCAGCUCUCCGUCUUUCUCCCAAACAUUUUCCUCGAUCAGUCUUAACAGUCAUUGUUGCAGACCUCCCUCUCCUUCUCCAAGAACCCUGCUCGGCUAUUUGAGCUUAAGCUUGGGCUCCAAUGGCGGCCUUUGACCAUGUCAAGGACAUGUACGAUGUUGCUCUAAGACCUCGUCUGUUGCAAACGCUCGUAAGAGACCUCCCUGAUGAUAAACACCCGUCUGGGAGUCCGUUGGAGCUGUCGAAGGUAGUCUACGCGAUCAAAACCCACAACCUCCUUUGUGAGUCUGCACAAGAUAUGACUGACCAAAAGCUAAUCACUACUUGGAAAUCCGCUACUGAUUCCUGGGUCCGUCGCUUGGCGCAGCUUGUUUCUAGUGAUAUGCCAGAUAAUGUUGGGAGGAUUUGUUGAUGGGGUGACUUGUCGGGAAUGC